CCUACGGGGGGCAGCAGUGGGGAAUAUUGCGCAAUGGGCGAAAGCCUGACGCAGCGACGCCGCGUGCGGGAUGAAGGUCUUCGGAUCGUAAACCGCUGUCAGCAGGGAAGAACGGUCACUGUGCUAAUCAGCAGUGAAUUGACGGUACCUGCAAAGGAAGCACCGGCUAACUCCGUGCCAGCAGCCGCGGUAAUACGGAGGGUGCGAGCGUUAAUCGGAAUUACUGGGCGUAAAGCGCUCGUAGGCGGUUUGUCAAGUCAAGGGUGAAAUCCCCGCGCUCAACGUGGGAACGGCCUGUGAAACUGGCAAACUGGAGUGUGUGAGAGGAUAGUGGAAUUCCAGGUGAAGGAGUGAAAGCCGUAGAUAUAUGGAGGAACAUCAGUGGCGAAGGCGACUAUCUGGGACAUAACUGACGCUGAGGAGCGAAAGCGUGGGUAGCAAACAGGAUUAGAUACCCGAGUAGUC
rnacentral:rRNA from 1 species